CAGCAGCCGCGGUAAUACGAAGGGUGCAAGCGUUAACCGGAUUUACUGGGCGUAAAGCGUGCGUAGGCGGCUUUUUAAGUCGGAUGUGAAAUCCCUGAGCUUAACUUAGGAAUUGCAUUCGAUACUGGGAAGCUAGAGUAUGGGAGAGGAUGGUAGAAUUCCAGGUGUAGCGGUGAAAUGCGUAGAGAUCUGGAGGAAUACCGAUGGCGAAGGCAGCCAUCUGGCCUAAUACUGACGCUGAGGUACGAAAGCAUGGGGAGCAAACAGGAUUAGAUACCCCCGUAGUCCCUGUCUCUUAUAA
rnacentral:rRNA from 1 species